rnacentral:rRNA from 1 species
AUACGGAGGGUGCAAGCGUUGUUCGGAAUCACUGGGCGUAAAUGGCGCGCAGGCGGUUUGGUAAGUCAGAUGUGAAAGCCCACGGCUCAACCGUGGAAGUGCAUUUGAAACUGCCAGACUUGAGUACCAGAGGGGAAAGUGGAAUUCCCGGUGUAGAGGUGAAAUUCGUAGAUAUCGGGAGGAAUACCGGUGGCGAAGGCGACUUUCUGGCUGGAUACUGACGCUGAGGCGCGAAAGCGUGGGGAGCAAACAGGAUUAGAAACCCUAGUAGUCC